CCUGAUAACGCACCAUUGACGUUAAAAUAUAAAUAUGUAAGCUUACAUCUAGCUUACACUUGGGAUGAUCCUCAAUCAAUAUCUGGUACAGUAGCAGUACAGCGGCUUUAAUAUUAUCUUCUACUUGAUGCACUUGAUACAAUACUUGAUAUGAAAUAAAAAAUUUAAGUAUAUAAGUAUACUUUAUACAUAAUGGCAUUAAAGAAACGUAGAGCGUGUACUCGGAGCUGAACGGUAAAGUGAUCUUUGUUUCUCCGUCAUACGGGUAAUUUAUAAAACAUUUUCCAGCUAAACUACAUCCACUAAAAUGCACACUGCAACGACGUGUCUAUUUUGAGACGAAGGUUUUUAAACAGCGUUUCAAGUGUACAAGUUUGUGUAGCGUGUAGUAACUGCAACGAUGCCAGUCAACUUAGAAGUUAAGCAUCAGCAAGUAGUUUGUGUAGAGUAGAUAGAUAUUUUACAAAGUAUUGGUACUAGAUACUAGAAACUAGACACUAGACACAAGACAUUUACUAAGUUUCAUCAAUCAACCUAAAGAAUGUUGAUAUCCAUUUGUCUCUUUUGUAUUUUGUCUCUUGUCUUCUCUACUCAUUUGGAUCGAUUUAUUGUAGAGCUUUUAUUAGUAUUUACUAUUUCUGUAAAUUAUAAAUAAAAUGUUGA